AUGGCCUGGGCUGUGUUUCUCCUCACUCUCCUCACCCAGGCCACAGGUUCUUGGGAAACCCAAUAUGCCCUGACUCAGCCUUCCUCCUUGUCUGAGGCUCUUGGACAAACGGUCACCAUCUCCUGUGAUGGAAGCAAAAGUGACAUUGGCUUUUACUUAUAUAGUGUCUCCUGGUACCAACAGCAGCCAGGAACACCUCCCAAACUCUUGGUUUAUGGUACAAGUUCUCGGCCUUCAGACAUCCCUGAUCGCUUCUCUGGCUCCAGGUCGGGCAACACAGCGACACUGACUAUCUCUGGACUCAAGCCUGAGGACGAGACUGAUUAUUACUGUUGCUCACGCAGAAGUGAUAACACUUUCCACAGUGGCUGUUUUUCAUAA